AUGGCCUCCACCACGAGCUUCUUAGCCAUGAUCAUGGCGUGCACGCUCCUCGCCAGCACGACGUGCCAUGCCGCUCGCCACUUGGCCGACACCACCCCGGCGGCUGCCCCACCCGCUGCCGUUGAUGUCCCUGGCCUCCCGGCCGUGCCGACCAUGCCGACGCUGCCACCGAUGCCGGCUGUGCCGACGGUGUCGUCCUUGACCGUGCCACCUAUGCCGACUGUGCCACCCGUGCCGCAGGUGACACUGCCGCCCAUGCCCGCUGUUCCUGCGGUGCCGAAGGUGACGAUGCCCCCAAUGCCCGCCAUCGUCGUGCCUAAGGUGACCAUGGCACCGAUGCCCGCCGUCGUUGUGCCUAAGGUGACGAUGCCGCCGAUGCCCGCCAUUCCUUCUAUGCCCAAGAUGACGCUACCGCCGAUGCCUUCUAUCCCCACUGUCAACGUGCCUAUGCCGUUCUUGGCGCCGCCUCCAUCAACUUAG
rnacentral:rRNA from 1 species